AGCGUCGUGGCGCAGCGGCUAGCGUGUUGGGCUCAUAACUCAAAGGUCGGUAGAUCGAAACUACCCGACGCUA